AACGAACGCUGGCGGCAGGCUUAACACAUGCAAGUCGAACGCCCCGCAAGGGGAGUGGCAGACGGGUGAGUAACGCGUGGGAACGUGCCCUUCGCUUCGGAAUAGCCCCGGGAAACUGGGAGUAAUACCGAAUACGCCGUAUUGGGAAAGAUUUGUCGGCGAAGGAUCGGCCCGCGUUAGAUUAGGUAGUUGGCGGUGUAAUGGACCACCAAGCCUACGAUCUAUAGCUGGUCUGAGAGGAUGAUCAGCCACACUGGGACUGAGACACGGCCCAGACUCCUACGGGAGGCAGCAGUGGGGAAUCUUGGACAAUGGGCGCAAGCCUGAUCCAGCCAUGCCGCGUAAGUGAAGAAGGCCUUAGGGUUGUAAAACUCUUUCGCCGGAGAAGAUAAUGACGGUAUCCGGAAAAGAAGCCCCGGCUAACUUCGUGCCAGCAGCCGCCGUAACAC
rnacentral:rRNA from 1 species